UAGGAAGUAGCAAUGAGGGGCUGUGCAAGUGUGGCGGGACAACUCCAGCUCCCUUCCAGGGCUAACCUGUUGGGGGAAUUAGCGGUCAGCUUCCAGGUGCAGCAUCUUGAGGUCUGUCUCCCCAGAUAUCAGACCUACAUCCCUGACUACUCCGGAUUCCUUUCCCUCGUUUUCCACUGGUGCCAGCGGCAAGAAAUCCUUUGAAUUCCAUGUUGGCAUCUGCUUUGGAGGGUUCAAACUGACACAGCUGCCAACCCACAUAGUGUGACAGGGCAAAUCCUACUGGCUCACUCUUUUGAAAUGUGAUGGCUUAAAAAAUGUAGCCAUAGGAGGGUGGUGGAAAUAAAUGUUUCUUUGGAUUGUC